rnacentral:rRNA from 1 species
CGUAAAGAGCGUGUAGGCGGGUAAAUAAGUUGGAAGUGAAAUCCUAUGGCUCAACCAUAGAACUGCUUCCAAAACUGUUAACCUAGAAUGUGGGAGAGGUAGAUGGAAUUUCUGGUGUAGGGGUAAAAUCCGUAGAUAUCAGAAGGAAUACCGAUUGCGAAGGCGAUCUACUGGAACACAAUUGACGCUGAGACGCGAAAGCGUGGGGAGCAAACAGGAUUAGAUACCCUGGUAGUCCACGCCCUAAACGAUGUACACUAGUUGUUGUGAGGCUAGACCUUGCAGUAAUGCAGUUAACACAUUAAGUGUACCGCCUGGGGAGUACGGUCGCAAGAUUAAAACUCAAAGGAAUAGACGGGGACCCGCACAAGCGGUGGAGCAUGUGGUUUAAUUCGACGAUACGCGAAGAACCUUACCUGGUCUUGACAUAGAAAGAACUUUCCAGAGAUGGAUUGGUGCCUGCUUGCAGGAGCUUUCAUACAGGUGCUGCACGGCUGUCGUCAGCUCGUGUCGUGAGAUGUUGGGUUAAGUCCCGCAACGAGCGCAACCCUCGUCGUUAGUUGCUAACAGUUCGGCUGAGAACUCUAACGAGACUGCCUACGCAAGUAGGAGGAAGGUGAGGACGACGUCAAGUCAUCAUGGCCCUUACGACCAGGGCUACACACGUGCUACAAUGGGGUAUACAAAGAGCAGCAAUACGGUGACGUGGAGCGAAUCUCAAAAAUGCCUCCCAGUUCGGAUUGUAGUCUGCAACUCGACUACAUGAAGUUGGAAUCGCUAGUAAUCGUAGAUCAGCUAUGCUACGGUGAAUACGU